UGAGGAAUAUUGGUCAAUGGGCGCAAGCCUGAACCAGCCAUCCCGCGUGCAGGAAGACGGCCCUAUGGGUUGUAAACUGCUUUUCCAGGGGGAGAAACUUGCGCACGUGUUGCGCAAUUGACGGUACCCUGGGAAUAAGCAUCGGCUAACUCCGUGCCAGCAGCCGCGGUAAUACGGAGGAUGCGAGCGUUAUCCGGAUUCAUUGGGUUUAAAGGGUGCGUAGGCGGACUAUUAAGUCAGUGGUGAAAUCCUGCAGCUUAACUGCAGAACUGCCAUUGAUACUGAUAGCCUUGAGUUUGGUUAAGGUAGGCGGAAUGUGUAAUGUAGCGGUGAAAUGCUUAGAUAUUACACAGAACACCAAUUGCGUAGGCAGCUUACUGAGCCGACACUGACGCUGAGGCACGAAAGCGUGGGGAUCGAACAG
rnacentral:rRNA from 1 species